GAGUAUUCUGUUAGAAGUAUUACAAAUAUUUUUAAAGUUGGCAAAAUCAAAAUGGUUAAAAUUGAAAUAUCUAUUUUAAAUAGUUAAAGUUGAAGUAGUAAAAUAGAAGUUUUUGAAGUGUAGGUCGUUCGUUCAAAAUGGAUCAUAGUUUGGAUAAUCCUUGUACAAUUUUAUCUCUCUUUUAUGCAACCUUUUUUUUUAAUUAUGGGAGCAGCAAACUAAAUGUAAUUUGUUUAGUAAAAUAUGAACAAGAAAGAUCAAUAAAAAGUGUAAAAUAUUUA
rnacentral:lncRNA from 1 species